ACUUUUGGUAUAGCAUUGCAAAUGUAAAUGAGCGAAAUACCUAAUAAAAAAUGGAAAAAAAAAAUAAAAGUAAUGAUAAAGCAACUCAUCUUGUGAGUGUUCUGAAGCUAUGAGUUAUCAUCAAUUUAAAUAAAGAAAACACUUCUCAUUUAUAAAGAAGACCCAUAUAAAGAAAAGUGCUUCAAUAUAACAUAUAUGCUUAAAAUUGUUUUUAAAAUCAAAGUCUAUGGAUGAAAUAAUUGUUUUAAAUUAAAAUGUUUAGAUGAAGCAAUUAUGGGAACAUCAUAUACAAAAGUAUAGUUCAGGCAAGAGGAGCCGGACAUAAUGGCCCAGUUAUGCACUGGGUCAGAUGAGGCAGGCAAAAUGCUCUAAAAGCAGGUACUGGCAGUGUGCCUGGAACACUCUGCUUUCAAGUGCUCAGUGUGAGAAAAGUUCUUUUGCAGAAUCAUAUGGGAUAAUUGGUGAUAAAAUAUACAUAUCUCAAACCGCUCUAAAGUUUUUAAGUUUUUGUAUUAGAUAUGCAUUUAGCCAGGACCACUACGGAGCCCAAAGAAUGGUAUGUACAGAUCUGUGUUUGUUAGUUUUUGUUUUGUUUUGUUUGUUUUGUUUUCAACUUGAAAAAACCUGAAGUCAUCUUGAUAAAGUAACCACAUUUAAGAAAAUACCUCCAUUAGAUUGGUCAUAGACAUAUCAUUGGGGUAUUUUCUUGGUUAAUAUUUGAUGUAGGGUUUAACGCACUGUGGGUAGUGUUACUCUUGAACAGGUGGUCCUGAAUGAUGUUAAAAAAAAAUAGCAAGAUAAGAAAACUCUGGGGAGUAAGAAAGUAAACAGUAGCUCUACAAAGCCUCUGAUUCAACUCCUGUUUCCAGCUUCCUCCUAGUUCCUCCUAGUUCCUCUAGUUUCUGCCCAAACUUACAUUCAUGAUCAUUACGAUCAGGAGAUGGAAAAUAAAAAUAAGCCUUAGUUGCUACUGUCCCUGUUCUUCAUCAUAGUAGUGAAAAAGUAAUUAAGACAGUGGGAAAUCAUCUUUCACCCAGGGUUCCAGCCAUUACAGAGUUUUAGAUAUGGCAAUCUUGUUCUGUUAUAGAGAAUUCAGCAUAUCGGGCUUUGGAUGAACAUUAGUGGUAGGGGUGAUUUCCCUGGCUCCUAUUACC
rnacentral:lncRNA from 1 species